rnacentral:rRNA from 1 species
UUGAUCCUGGNCUCAGGAUGAACGCUGGCGGUCUGCUUAACACAUGCAAGUCGAACGGGCUCUUCGGAGCUAGUGGCGGACGGGUGAGUAACGCGUGAGGAUCUGCCUUCAGGAGGGGGGUAACGACUGGAAACGGUCGCUAAUACCGCAUAUGCCUACGGGUGAAAGAUUUAUCGCCUGGAGAUGAACUCGCGUCAGAUUAGCUAGUUGGUGGGGUAAGAGCCUACCAAGGCGACGAUCUGUAGCUGGUCUGAGAGGAUGAUCAGCCACACUGGGACUGAGACACGGCCCAGACUCCUACGGGAGGCAGCAGUGGGGAAUUUUCCGCAAUGGGCGCAAGCCUGACGGAGCAAGACCGCGUGCGGGAUGACGGCCUAAUGGUUGUAAACCGCUUUUCUCUGGGAAGAUGAUGACGGUACCAGAGGAAUCAGCCUCGGCUAACUCCGUGCCAGCAGCCGCGGUAAUACGGAGGAGGCAAGCGUUAUCCGGAAUUAUUGGGCGUAAAGCGUCCGUAGGUGGUUAUUCAAGUCUGCUGUCAAAGCGUGGGGCUUAACUCCAUAGAGGCAGUGGAAACUGGAUGACUUGAGUGCGGUAGGGGUCGAGGGAAUUCCCAGUGUAGCGGUGAAAUGCGUAGAUAUUGGGAAGAACACCAGUGGCGAAAGCGCUCGACUGGGCCUGCACUGACACUGAGGGACGAAAGCUAGGGGAGCGAAAGGGAUUAGAUACCCCUGUAGUCCUAGCCGUAAACGAUGGAUACUAGGUGUUGCUCGUCAUCGACCCGAGCAGUGCCGUAGCCAACGCGUUAAGUAUCCCGCCUGGGGAGUACGCUCGCAAGAGUGAAGCUCAAAGGAAUUGACGGGGGCCCGCACAAGCGGUGGAGUAUGUGGUUUAAUUCGAUGCAACGCGAAGAACCUUACCAGGGCUUGACAUGUCCGGAACCUUGCCGAAAGGUG